rnacentral:lncRNA from 1 species
GUCAGAGAGGUAUAGAUAGGAAAGGAAAGAAGGUGAUGAGUAGUACAGAAAAGAAUAUGACAACCAUUUGAAACACGAAGAGAUGAUCAAGUCUGCAGAAACACUUAGCAUAAAGCACUGUGCUGUAUUUUAUUUGUGGACAUGGCAUCUGCAAUGUUUUACAUUGCAUGCAACUUAAUUCAGCCCCCCACACACAUUGAGCACUUCCUUAUGGGACUCACAGGAUGACUGAAGAGAUCAGGGGGCUUAGUUCUGCCCCCAGAAACACAGAACAUGAAUGAUACUCUUCUAGUAGGGAGGGAAAAUGAGAGAGUACCACUAGGGAAGGACAUUUGCUCUUACAUAGACUGCUAUAUUCCCAGCACUUUAGGUAGUACCUGGCACAAUGGGAAUAGCAGUAAAUAUUGGGCAGAUGGAUGAGUGCAUGCACGAAUGAGUAAAGCUAGCACUUACUGAGUUCCUCCUUCUUGGACAGUGUAGUGUGCACUUUGUAUAUUUCAUUACUCUAAUGCUUCUAAAUGCUGUAAAAGGUACCAUUUUCCUUGUUUUAUAGAUGUUGAAAUAGAAGUGCUAUGCAGUUACUUGUUCAAAGUCAUAACACUCAUCAGUGACAAAACUGAAGUUUCUGAACUUGAAUUAUCUACCUCCUGAAUCCAUGCCAUCCCUACUAUACCAUACAAGUGUAGAUAACUUCUUUUUCAGUAGUAGCCCUCCAAAAGUUAUUUUCCGUAUGUAUCCAGAGGCCAGCAUUUUGCAGUGCCCAAGUAGUAUAGAGAAGAGAGAAGGCAGAAGAAAAGAAAACACUGAAAGGCUCUACUGCUCCUGCUUUCCUCCCCAUACCACAGAAUCCUGGAAGGCACCCAUCUCUAGCUUU